GUUAAUAUCCUGAGGCAAGGAAUUAAUUUUGGGACUGGUAGGGACUUGGAUAACUUGUGAAAAAGAAGCUGAACUCCAAGAAAGAGAGGGGAAGAUAGAGGGAAGAGGAUAAGAAGGAGGGAAGAGAAGAGAGUGUAGAAACAAAGACUCUUCUGUGUUCCUCUACCUGGUAGUCAAUCUGCACAAAACUGGAAUGCAUCUUAGUGCUAAACUGCAAAUAUCUGAAAGUGAAUACCUGAAGUAUGCCUUAUCCUUCUGUGACCAACCCAGGACAACUCUAGAGCUCUAUUGAUUACUGCUUUGGCUAUCAGAGCCUUCCAAGUGCUGAGCUGGUUCUAGAAACAUUAAUCAACUUCAUCAUUUUUUUGGACAUCUCUAGAAAAGUACACUGUCAAGGUAUCUGACAACAUGAUGCUUUGCAUAAUGCUCCACAUUUGGAGAGCAACUUCUUUCAUCUAGAACCGGUGCAAGCAUGCCAUCAUGAAACUAGUGUACAAUACUGAUGAACUUCUUCAUGCAACCAAAUUUCACCAUGAUCUUCCACAAGUCCUCAUGUAUAAGGGCUUGCUGAC